CAACCUGUGAACACCACCCCAUAAAACUUAAGCCUGGGAAUUUCUCUUUCUCUUUGGUUUCUGGCUUUUGAAGAAUUAACAGGGCUCCAGUUCAGCCUCCACGGCUCCAGGCCAGACAAGGCCGCGGGGGGAGUGGGGCUGGCCAGAGUUCUGCGGUUCCUGGUGGUGGAUGGAGACUGUGAAGUGACAGGAGCCCCUUCCCAGAGGGGCUGAAGCCCUUGCAGGGCUCGCUGAGCCUUGUGCAGCGUGGCUGCCGGGCCAGGCUGCUUCCUGUCUGGGCUGCAGUUUCUGAUGCUGCUGGCUUUCAACAGAGACUGCCGAGGAAGGGGAGGGAAAGCUCUUGAGCUGCGGCGUGCUGAGACAGUGGCACACUCCUCCAGAGCAGCUACCAAAAAUCUUCCAUGGCAAACAGCUCCAGCCCCUGCCCCGUCAGAGAUCAUGGCACCAUCCCCAAGGCCUGGGCAGGAGUUUAGCCCUUUCACUAGCCAGAUGAGACUUGCAGAUUAAUCUUUUUCCUGAGAGAGGGGAAGAGAGAGGGGUCAACACGUAAAGAGACAGCAUCAACUAUCAAAGGCAGUGAGGGAAGGAAUUAACGCUCAGAUGGGAAGAGAAUAAGGAGAUGCCUGAAUAAGCUGAAGUUUUCUUUUGUUCAAGCUAUGGAGAGGGACAAUGAUGUUCUGAAACAACUCCUUUCAUUCCUGAAACAGUAUUUUUGGGGGAAUGGAGUAUUUCAAAGUGUAGAUGGGAGCAAAAAUAAUUCAUUGAUAAAGCUGAGUAAAUGGUAAAGUUGUUGUAAUCCUGUAAGAUGCUGGAAGAGAAAAGGAGAAGUGAGAGUUGUUGAAGAUUUGUGGCUCUUAAGAGACAAAGCAAAAAUUUCUGUUUUCAGAGAUGGUCACAGAGACAAAUGAAGAGAACUUUGAAGAUCUCAUCCUUCAAAUGACAACCCUUGAAUCACGGCCCACGAACACACCUCAGAGUGGUGUGAAAUGGGAAGAAAGGACUGAUGGCAGAGUUUUCUGGGUGACUGGCAUCAGAGCAAUGGGAAGCCAUGAGGAAAUGGUUUUCUGGUGAAAAAUCCAUAGAUUGCCAAAAGAGAACUUCUUUUUCUCUACAGAAACUGGUGAAAAGACUAUAGCAAAAUUAAGACCGUUUUAACCACCAGUUUGGCAACCCCAGAUGAGACCUUUUGAGUGCUGCUGAGCGAACUUGUGACCCGAUCACGCUCCAGCCAGCACCAAGGGAUUCUCGGGGACCCCAUCAGCUGUGACCAUCUCUGUGCUCACAACAUCCCUGGGAGAGAAAGGUAAGGAGCUUUACUUGGUCUGGGUGGUUGCCAGUAAGACGCAGUGAAAGCUGCGCUUGGUUGGGCUAAAGGAAUUCCUGUUGGUAUUGCCUAGGUGCUGUCCGUCAGAUGACUGCGAAAGCGUUGCAGGGAGAAACUUAAAGGGAUUUUGGGCAGCAAUGGUCCCAUACCUGGUACUUCUCCUUUGGGGUGCUUACUAUCACAUUGGAAACAAGCUCUAGCUCGACUUUGGAGCACCUUUGUGUGGAACAGGCCGCUGACUCUUGAGAAUCCAGUUCAUGACAUCCACCCAGGAGAUGAAGUGUACGGUAAAAGCUGGAACAAAGAACCAUUAAAAGAAAGGUGGAAUGGACCAUAUCAGGUACUGUAAACUACCUUUACAGGAGUCAAAGUAGCUGGACUGGAUCCCUGGAUAAAUUACACCAGAGUGAAGAAGGUUUCCCCUGCACUGUGGACUGUGUAAACUGUAGGACCAACGAAGCUGCAGAUAAAGUGGGUUUGAUUGUUUCAAAUGUCUAGGUUGCUGGUGACUGCAAUGUUGAUUAUUUUAUGGCCUUUAGUGCCAUCAGUUGGAAUCAAUGUUACUUUAGGAUGUGAAAUGCAAAAGGAUCAGCUGGCAACUCUUCAUUUUAGAAUGAAGAGGGAUGUGGGGGUGCAGCCAGAAACACAAGUGAUAAAAGUCUGUAAUACCAUUCAGGCAGAAAAUGUGAUGAUUAGAUUAAUUAAAGAUUUUGCCUACAUGCAAAUCACCACCAAAAUAACUGCCUGUCUCCAAUACCAAAGGCAGCAGGAGACCAAAUAAAUUGAGGAAUUAUACCAUUGAAAUUACCUGAAAUACAAAAGAAUAAAAAUGAAAAUGUGAGCUGUGUAUUGCAAAUAGAUGACGAGUACUGAAAUAAGACAGUGUUUGAAAAUUCUGUGAUGCCAAAGUAUUCAUCUAUAUGGGAUUGUCAUGAAAAUGGAGGAAAGUAUGAACCAAAACUAGGCUGGUAUGGGGGAUUAGGAAAUUAUAGGUGGUGUUAUAAAAAGAUAGCAAAGGUUAUAAAAGAAAAGAUUCCAGUAUCAAAAUAGAAGUGUAAAUGACAGGAAGGAAAAGAUCAGAUUGAAGCUUGAGACAGUGCAUGGUCAAGGAGUGUGCUUCAGAAAUUCCAAUAUAUGGCAGAUACCCCUUGGUGCAUUAAGUGGGAAGGCUCUGAAAAUGAAACAGAUCCAGGGGUAUGGAACACUGCAAGCAGUAGUAGAAUGGAGGCAGACAAAGUGAAUUGGUGGGUAUGGAACAAAACUUAUGACUGUAUGUCUGAUGAUGAAGAAAUAAAACAAAUGCCACCGCUAGUGGUAGCUCUGAGAAUUGGAUGUGCCUGCAGAGGAACCAAACACAAACAAGGUGAAAUAAAUGACAAAAUAGGACAAGUGAUCCAAAAAGUAGUAUGGAGCAGAAGUACAAUUCAGACUCCAGGCCAAUUUGUAUGGGCAGCAAGUGAUGGCACCUGGACAACACAUUUGCCUGUAAGUGGAAAAGUAAAAGAUUACUUUAGGCCUCCCCACAUUAUGCCCAAUUUGGAAAAGGUCCCCAUUUAAAGGAGAACAUGAACUUCUGCAAAUAAGGACAAGACGAGAAGUUCAAGAAAACAAAGCUGAAGAUGAGGAAAAAUGGCAGGAACCCUCCAGCAGUGUAAAAUUUGAGUGAGCUCUGGAAUCCUUGUUUGGUCCAAAAGCAAAUUACAAUAAUAGAAAGAUGUUGUACAAACUUACAGGUCAGGUAGAAAGAUUGGCAAGAGUUACCAAAGAGGUAUUUAGAGAGCUAAAUGUACAAUUACAAGCCAUGACUAAAAUGACCCUGCAAAACAGAUUGGCUUUAGAUAUUUUAUUGCUGAAAGAACACGGAGUAUGUGGGUACCUAAAAGGACAAAUUGAUCACUGCUGCAUCCACAUCCCAAAUGGAACUGCAGAUGUAGAACACGACAUUAAUCAAUUAAAACCAAUAGAACAUGAAGCACAGAAAGAGUGGGAAGAUCUGACCACAAGUUAGAUAAAAUUUUUGACGGGUUGGGAUGGAAUGUGAGCUAAUGGAUCAAAUCUAUUCUUGAGAGUCUGAUAAUCCUACUGAUUGUGUUCUUAGCAAUCUGGUUAAUCUAUGCAGUUGUGAAAGGAGAGAUAAAAAAAAGAGUAUCCUGGAACCAGAAAAUAAUAAAGGCACUGACACGGGACAGAGAUCCACAUCCGCAUUUGUCAUCUCCAAGUCCUCCAGAGUGUAACAAUGCUUACGAAAACUGUAGAUUCAAAAAUGAACAUCAAGUAUAAACUCAGAGGUAAAAGACUCUAUAUAGUGAAAGCAUUCCAUUGAUUCUAGUAAAGUGAAAUACUUUCAAAGGGGAGAAAUAUGUUACUAUGGGGUUAAAUGUUUCUGCAAAUGUUUCUUAAAACCAUGAAGAAGUGGGCUGCAAGAAUGUCUGUUAUUGGGGAUGGUCUAGCAAGCUGAAAUGUUUAUAGUAAUGGGAACUGGUACUUGGGGAUUCCAAGAUACCCACCCAGAGAUAAGAUUUGUACGUGUUCGUACAAGGAUGAGCUAACUCUCAUGAAGCAAUCUUGAUAAAGCUAAUCAAGCAAUAUUAAUGAAGCAAUAUUGAUAAGGUAGUUAUAGUGAUUACUGCUUCAGCUGAAAUUGUAUAAAUAUGUGCAUUUUGGACAAAGACAAUGGAACUAGAUUUGGGUUGCUGAUACCCCUAGUUCCUGCGUGCUUCAAUAAAGCACCUGCAUAUAUUCAA